rnacentral:rRNA from 1 species
UACGAACCGUCCAAACGUUAUUCGGAAUCACUGGGCUUACAGAGUUCGUAGGCGGCGGAGAAAGUAGGGUGUGAAAGCCCUCGGCUCAACCGAGGAAUUGCGCCCUAAACUACUUCGCUUGAGGAGGCUAGAGGUGAGCAGAACAGAUGGUGGAGCGGUGAAAUGCGUUGAUAUCAUCUGGAAUACCGGAGGCGAAGGCGGCUCACUGGGACCUUUCUGACGCUGAGGAACGAAAGCUAGGGUAGCGAACGGGAUUAGAUACCCCCGUAGUCC